rnacentral:rRNA from 1 species
CGAACGCUGGCGGCGUGCUUAACACAUGCAAGUCGAACGGUGAAGCGCCUUCCUUUUUGGUGGGUGUGGAUGAGUGGCGAACGGGUGAGUAACACGUGAGUAACCUGCCCCCUUCUUCUGGAUAACCGCAUGAAAGUGUGGCUAACACGGGAUAUUCUGGGUCUGUCGCAUGAUGGGUCUGGGAAAGAUAUUGUUUCGGUGGGGGAUGGGCUCGCGGCCUAUCAGCUUGUUGGUGGGGUGAUGGCCUACCAAGGCGGUGACGGGUAGCCGGCCUGAGAGGGUGGACGGUCACACUGGGACUGAGACACGGCCCAGACUCCUACGGGAGGCAGCAGUGGGGAAUAUUGCACAAUGGGCGCAAGCCUGAUGCAGCGACGCCGCGUGAGGGAUGGAGGCCUUCGGGUUGUGAACCUCUUUCGCCAGUGAAGCAGGCCUGCCUCGUUUGUGGGUGGGUUGACGGUAGCUGGAUAAGAAGCGCCGGCUAACUACGUG